AAACCCUGUCUCUUACUAAAAAUACAAAAAGUAGCUGGGCUUGGUGGGCAUCUGUAAUCCCAGCUACUCGGGAAGCUGAGGUUGGAGGAUCACUUGAACCUGGGAAGUGGAGGUUGCAAUGGGCCGAGAUCGUGCAACUACACUCCAGCCUGGGUGACAGAGUAAGACUUAAAAAUAAAACAAAACAAAAUAAAAUAAAAUAAAACAAAACUACAAAUACAAAAAUUAGCCAGGUAUGGUGGCGGGUGGCACGCACCUGUAUCUCAGCUACUUGGUAGGCUGAGGCACAAGAAUCACUUGAACCCAGGAGACAGAGGUUGCAGUGAGCCAAGAUCAGGAGACUGCACUCACAGCCUGAAGGACAGAGUGAGACUCUGUUUGAGGAAGAGAAAAAAAAAAGCGUUUCUGAUGUGAUAGAGAUAAUAAAACCUGAGUAACAUGAUAGAGAUUGAUGGGCAGAGGGAAUUUCAGAUGGGGGUGGGAGGGCAUGGGAGACAGCUCUGAGCCUAGACCUGAAGGAGCAGAAAGGGAGAUGGCUGUGAUCAUUUAGGGACAUAGGGUAAGAACGGGGAAAAUGACCUGAGACAGGAAGGGUUUUGAUGUUUGGGGAAAGAGAUAAGCAAAUGUGACUGGGGCGGAGGGAGUCAUUAGAUUAGGGCAAGCUCCCAGGAGGAGGCUGGACACUGGCAGGGGCCCUGGACACAGGGCUGUGGAGCCACACUGAUGAGUUGGGCUUUUGUCCUGGGGAACACGGGAAGCUGGUGGAGGGUUCCCUGCCAGGGACUGAUGUGACCUGCUUUACAUUUAGCUGUGAUAUCCUCAGAGUGGGGACAUAUUCACCGAGUUACCCUGAGAAGGUCUGAGAUGAGUGAGAAGGUGUGUCUGAAUUCUUACAUGGGGGCCCAGAAGGGCUAAUGGAAAGGGUUGGUCUUAUCACCUCUCUUUGAAAAUUAGAGAAGCAUCUUUCACAUACCUGGGCUAAAGAAACUUCUUUUGCAACGUUCUGAUGCUAUUGACUUUCAACAUUUAAUUCUUCUUACAAGAAAAUUAUAGUAACAUAUAUAAAAUGCAGAAGUGAAAACACACAGCUACUGACCUUGAAAACAGGGAGGCCAGGCAGGGUGGCUGAGGCCUGUAAUCACAGCACUUUGGGAGGCCAAGGCAGGCAGAUCACCUGAGGUCAGGAGUUCGAGACCAGCCUGAGCAAUAUGGAGAAACCCCCGUCUCUACUAAAAAUACAAAAAUUAUCUAGGCAUGGUGGCUCAUGGUUGUAAUCCCAGCUACUCAGGAAGGUUGAGGCAGGAGAAUCACUUGAACCCGGAGGCGGAGGUUGCGGUGAGCUGAGAUUGCACCAUUGCACUCCAGCCUGGGCAACAAGAGUGAAACUGUGUCUCAAAAAAACAAACAAACGAACAAACAAAAAAAGAAAAUAGGGAAAGAGGGUCAGCUGUAGAACUACUAUAUAAGCAAAUGUUUUCAAUCAAGAAAACAUGGGUGGCCAGAUACAGUGGCUCAUGCCUGUAAUCCCAGCACUUUGGGAGGUCAAGGCAGGUGGAUCACCUGAGGUCAGGAGUUCGAGACCAACCUGGCAAACACAGUGAAACCCUGUCUCUACUAAAAAUACAAAAAUUAGCCAGGCUCCAUCUCCACAACUCAUUUAAUCUCUUGCUGCUCCUUCUCCCCAAUCUUUAGAUCAUCCUCAAUCUCUAUAGAUUUCCACCUCUUCUCCCAUCUCUGUGCAUCCUCUGCUCUCCCUGUUAAAUUGUCUCUUCCUUGUUAUACCUCCCUGGCCCCACUCUCUGGCACCCCAGAUCCCCAGGUGUCCUCCCUGCUGUGCUUCUCCCUCUGUUCUCCUUGCCACCAGCACCACUCUGCUCUGUCUGCCCUGGCUCCAAAUCCCUCCUCCUCUCCCUCACUCUGAUGAGACUCCCUCUUUGCUGUCCCUCUCCCUACCUUGCUGUCCUUCAUCUCUCUGUACAUCUAGCUUUUCUCUACAUUUCUCCAGUUGCUUUUCUCCUCCUGCUUUCUUAUUUUUUUUUUCACUUUUGCUGUCUCUUGGCAAAUCCCUCACCCAUCUUCUACUUUGCCAUCUGUUAUGGGCCUUUCUCAUUCUUCUUUUCUCUGUCUCAGGUUUUUUACUGCUCUCUCUCUGUCUCCUGAUCCCUUUGGCCCACACAAUCACAGGAGGGUUUGGACACCUUCAUGUCAGAGGAGCCCAUUUUCCAGGGGCUGGCACUGGGCAGGGAAGAACACCUUGUGUCACCAUAUAGGCCCCAGGCACCUCCCCAAUGCGGGCCUGGGCAACAGAGCAAGACUUUCUCAAAAUAAUAAUAAUAACAAUAAUAAUUAUGUAUAUAUAUUGCAAAUGCUGUGUUUUCUACGUAAACCAUGGGCUUGGCCACACGCAUUACCUCAUGCCUGUAAUCCCAGCACUUUGGGAGGGUGAGGCGGUGGAUCAUGAGAUCAAGAGGUUGAGACAAUUUUGGCCAGCGUGGUGAAACCCGCUCUCUACUACAAGUACAAAAUUAGCUGGGCUUCUCGGCACGCCCCUGUUGUCCCAGCUACUUGGGAGACUGAGGCAAAAGAAUCACUUGAACUCGGGAGUCAGAAGUUGCAGUGAGCUGAGAUGGCACCAGUGCACUCCAGCCUGUCGACAAAGUGAGACUCUGUCUCAAAAAAAAAUCAUGGGCUUAUCCAUUAAUGCACUUCUGCACAUACUUCAAAUUACAUCCACACACACUUAAAUUAACUUGCGUUCAGAAGGUAUAAGCAAAAACCUGGAGAGGACACAACCAAAGCUACUCACCAGGCUGAGGUGGGAGAAUUGCUUGAGCCCGGAGAGCAGAGGUUGAAGUGAAUCAAGAUCGCACAACUGCCCUCCAGCCUGGGGGACACAGCGAAACUCCAUCACCUCCACCCCCCAAAAAGUUGGAAGCUCACUGAAUUAAGAUACAACUUCAAGAAAUCAUAAAAGCAAUGCAUGAAGAACAUGAGAAGGACAACCAACAUACAGAAAUUAUGACGAACUACACAGAAACUCUCGGGAUAAAAAUACAGUAACUAAAUGGAAAAACUCAAUACAUGGGUUCAAAAUCAGAAUUCAUUAUGUAAAUUAAAAACUAGUGAAGAGGGGUCAGGCAAGGUGGCUCACACCUGUAAUCCCAGGACUCUGGGAGGCCGAGGUGGGUGGAUCACUUGAGGUCGAGUUCAGAGAACAGUCUGGCCAAUAUGGUGAAACCUUGUCUCUACUAAAAAUACAAAGAUUAGCUGGGUGUGGUGGCUGGCUCCUGUAGUCCCAGGUACUCUGGAGGCUGAGUCAAGAGAAGCACUUGAACAUGGAAGGCAGAGGUUGCAGUGAGCCGGAUUGCCCCACUGUACUCCAGCCUGGGUGACAGAGCAAGACUGUCUCAAAAAAAAAAAAAAAACCAAAAAACAAAGAAAGAAAAUUCCAGGACUAUCUUUUAUACACCUGAGCAAAAGGAAUGUCUCUCUCCAUGUCUAAGGUUCUGAUGGCAUGAAUCCUAAACAUGUAAUUAUUUUCCCAGAAAUAUGACAGUAAUACGUUCAAAAUAAACACAAGUGUGAACACAUAGCUAUAGGUGUUUAAAACACUGAAAGAGGCCAGGCGCGGUGGCUCACGCCUGUAAUCCUAGCACUUUGGGAGGCCGAGGCAGGUGGAUCACGAGCUCAGGAGAUUGAGACCAUCCUGGUCCACAUGGUAAAACCCGGUUUCUACUAAAAAUACAAAAAUUAGCCUGGCAUGGUGGUGUGUGCCUGUAAUCCCAGCUACUCGGGAGGCUGAGACAGGAAAAUCAUUGGAACCCGGGAGGCAGAGGUUGCAGUGAGCCAAGAUCACACCACUGCACUCCAGCCUGGGUGACAGAGUGAGACUCCUUCUCAAACAAAACAAAACAAAACAAAAACCAAAACAACAACAACAACAAAAAACACUGAAAGAGAGGCAAUGGUAGUCAUAAGCUGUAAGCAAAUGUUUUCUUCAUGAACACAUGGGCUCUGCUGGAACAAGGUUCCAAAACAAUCCAGCCCAUCGUUCAACAUCUGCAAGGAAUAUUAUGAACCAGAGGAACUUGAGGGAGACAUUUACUUAGAAGCUCACAGCUCACCAUUUUAUCAGAUGACAUAAGGAAAGAAAAUAGAAUAGGCUACUUGAACCAAAUUUUGAUGUUAGCGUAAAGAAGAAAGGUCCUGGGGCCGGGCGUGGUGGCUCACACCUUAAAUCCCAGCACUUUGGGAGGCCGAGGUGGGUGGAUCACCUGAGGUUGGGAGUUUGAGACCAGCCUGACAAACAUGGAGAAACCCCAUCUCCACUAGAAAUACAAAAUUAGCUUGGCGCAGUGGCACAUGCCUGUAAUCCCGGCUACUGGGGAGGCUGAGGCAGGAGAUCACUUGAACCCAGGAGGCGGAGGUUGUGGUGAGCCAAGAUCGCGCCAUUGCACUCCAGCCUGGGCAAUAAGAGCAAAACUCCAUCUCAAAACAAACAAACAAAAUAGGUCCUUGAUAUCUUUAUAAAGUACACAUUGAAACAACCUAAAAUUGGCCAGGCACGGUGGCUCACACCUGUAAUCCCAGCACUUUCUGAGGCUGAGGUGGGCGGAUCACCUGAGGUCAGGAGUUCAAGACCAGCCUGGCCAACAUGGUGAAACCCCGUCUCCAUUAGAAAUACAAAAAUUAGCCAGGCGUGGUGGCAGGCGCCUGUAAUCCCAGCUACUUGGGGGCUGAGGCAGGAGAAGAGCUUGAACCCAAAAGACGGAGGUUGCAGUGAGCCGAGAUCGUGCCAUCACACUCCAGCCUGGGGGUAGAAGGGAGACUUUGUCUCAAAAAAAAGUAAGAAAGAAAAAAAGAAACAACCUAAAAUCAUUUAUCAGGUACUAGUAAAUGCUUCCAAUAUAUGAUACAGACUAGAAAGCAUGCAGUCUUCUAUGUAAACUGAACACAACAAAUUUCAUAGAGAAACUUUUAAAAUGGUUAAAAAUAUAUACAUCUAAAAAUGUAUAUAUCUAAUAAAAUGUAGGGUCAAAGAAGAAAAUUUUGAACUCAUAUCAUAGUUGGAAAACAAUGAUGUGAGCUCAUAAGAUUCUACCAAAGCUUAUUUGAAAAGUAGUUAUCUUACUUUUUUCAGACGGAGUCUCGCUCUGUCACCCCAGGCUGGAGUGCAGUGGCAUGAUCUCAGCUCACUGCAACCUCCCCCUCCCUGUCCAAGGGAUUCUGCUGCCUCAGCCUCCUGAGUAGCUGGGAUUACAGGCGCCCGACAUCACACCUGGCUAAUUUCUGUAUUUUAUUCGACACGAGAUUUCGCCAUGUUGACUAGGCUGGUCUCGAACUCCUGACCUCAGGUGAUCUGCCCGCCUUGGCCUCCCAAAGUGCUGGGAUUACAGGCAUGAGCCAUUGCACACGGCCUUUAUUUUUAUUUAUUUAUUUUUUAAUUAAGAAACAAGGCGGGCAUGGUGGCUCAUGCCUGUAAUUCCAGCAUUUUGGGAGGGCGAUACAGCUGGAUCGCUUGAGCCCUGGAGUUGGAGACCAGCCUGAGCAACAAGGCAAAAGCCCGUCUCUACCAAGUACACAAAAAUUAGCGCGGUGUGGUGGCGCGCGGCUGUGGUCCCAGCUACUCUGCAGGCUGAGGUGACAGGAUCGCUUGAGCAUAGGAUGUUGAUGAUGCAGUGAGCUGUGAUCCUGUCACCGCUCUCCCGCCUGGGCAACAGAGUGAGACCCCAUCUCCAAUAAAAAAGAAUAAAAAAGAAAUACCUGGGUCCUGGGUCUGGGGGCAGCGAAUCUAAGGCCAAUUAAGGCAAACUUUCUAAAACUAGACAAAAAGGAAAAACCCCAUCUCCCCAUCCGGAGUAACAAAGGAUCAAAGGCCGCUGUCCCUACCGCCCUCCUCCUUCCACCACGUCUCAGAAAGGGAAAGAGCCCAGGAGUGGCCAUGGCCAAGCACCGGCCACACCUUCAUCUGCAUAGGGCACCCAUCUGCUCCGGCCUCGGGCCAAUUCACCUCAGCAUUUCGUUGGCCAAGGGCCAAAAAUCCUUCAUCCAGAUAAGGGGUAGCCCAUAGGGACCUCAAAAUAAAUACUUUAACCCCCUAAAACUUUCUAAACGGGUCCCCGGAGACGCUGGCUCGGGCCCACUCCCCUCUGUGGAGUGCUUUCUUGAUUGCAUAUAUUCGUUUUCCAGGAGUUGGAACUAGGUAGCAACACCGCACAAGGAGGGAGGUGGGGAGCGACGGAGCCUUCGGACAGGGGUGGCGUCUGCAGGAUCUUAGGACCAGGCAGAGGACGCGGCCUCCCGGGAACCGGGGUUGAGGCGCGGCGCUCCUGAAGCCGCCGAGAGCGACGGUGGGAGGCGCCUAGGGCUGGAAUCCAGCUCGCGGGUGAGGACUUGAAACAGCGCGAGGCGGGAGGACAGGUCAGGAAGGGUUUUGAGAAGGAAAAUUCCGCGAUAGGAGGUGUCUGCACGACCCCACUGCAGAAAGACCGAGGACGGGACCUGCCUCAGGGCCACUUUAAACUCGAAGGGACUCACGGACUCUCACCCGGACGUCUCAAUUUGCUCUGGGUUGAGAAAGAGGGGCCGCAAUUUCCAGGUCUGUGGGGACUCAACGUCCCCGGUAUAGCAGCACCACAGGACUGGGAAGCACACAUAAAACAGAGCGAAACUCACGCGCUGUGGUGUGACCUUCAGUCCCUGCCAUCCGCUUCCGGGUCUAUGCCAAUCAGCGCAGGACAGAGGCCAGGCCUGGGCGGGACCCCCGAGAAGGUUUUGGAGGCGAAAGCCGCCAGUGAGGCUGGAGCAGCUCAGCAGUCAUUGAAAUAGUACCUCCCUGAGAAGUCAACGUGAGGCGGUCAUUGGACCCAGGAAAGUUCCUUGCUAUUGAAAUUAAUUUUAGCAAUUUAUGUCCAAAAUCUGGAAGUUGUCAAGGGAAGGAAUGCAAACUAGAAUGCGAAAUACAAAGCUCUGCCUCAGCGAAACCUCCAAUUUCCUGCUGACGGCCCACAGAACAGAAUAGCAAAUCCUCUCCCUUUCUAUUUUCCAUUCACUGGGGUGGGAGAAUCCACCCUGUGCUCAGCUCCAGAGACUUCCUCAGGGCCACCGCCUGGGGUGCGGAGCGGAGGCCUCAGGCCAGGGAGGAGUGAGGUCACCACCUCCUGCUUAAACACAGCAGGGAUGUGGGCGAGGUGGCGAGUCUGGGGUCCCGGCUACUCAGGAAGCAGGAGCCGCAAGACCGCUGAGCCCGGAGGUCCAGGCCAGCGUGGGCGACAAAGAUGAAGCUUGACUGAAGACCUUGCCUCAAUCAUGACAUUUGUAAGGUUUCUCUCCAGUAUGAGUUCACCCAUGAACUACAGCGUAUGAACGAUGUCUGAAAAAUUUGCCACAUUUACUACACUUGUAAGAUCUCUAUUCAUUAUGGAUUCUUCAAUGAUUUGCAAUGGUUGUAGCGUUACUGAAGACUUGGUGACAAUCAUUACAUUAGUCAAGUUUCCCUACACCAUGGAUUGCCUGAUGGUGAAUAAGUGUUGACUGUGCACGAAAGGCUUUGCCACACUCACUACACUUGAAAGGUUUCUCUCCAGUAUGAAUUCUAGUAUGUUGUGCCAGGUGUGAGUAACACUUGAAAGCCUUGUCACAAACCUUACAUUUGUAUGGUUUCUCUCCAGUGUGAACUCUCUGAUGUUGUGCAAGGUAUGAAUCACGCCCAAAAGCCUUGUCGCAAACCCUACAUUUGUAUGGUUUCUCUCCAGUAUGAACUCUCCUAUGUAUUUCAAGGUGUGAUUUGAUAUUGAAAACUUUGUCACAUUCUUCACAUUUGUAAGGUUUCUCUCCAGUAUGAAGUCUAUGAUGACAUGCAAGUUGUGACUGUGUCCUAAAAACCUUGCCACAUUCAUUACACUUGUAAGGUUUCUCUCCAGUAUGAAGUCUAUGAUGAUAUGCAAGGCUUGAUUUGUGAUUAAAACUUUUGCCACAUUCAUUACACUUGUAACGUUUCUCUCCAGUAUGAAUGACCUUAUGCAUUACAAGAGAUGAAUUUUGAACGAAGGUCUUGCCACACUCAUUACACUUGUAAGGUUUCUCUCCAGUGUGAAUUACAGUAUGUUGUGCCAGGUGUGAAUCACGUCUGAAAGCCUUGUCACAAACCUUACAUUUGUACGGUUUCUCUC
rnacentral:lncRNA from 1 species